rnacentral:rRNA from 1 species
CAGGCCUAACACAUGCAAGUCGAACGGUGGUAGCGAUCCCAUACUGGCGCACGGGUGCGUAACACGUAAGCAACCUACCCAGAACUGGGGGAUAGCCCGCCGAAAGGCGGAUUAAUACCGCAUAAGCUAGUGAUGCGGCAUCGGGAGAUUGGUAAAGAUCUCUUGGUUUGGGAUGGGGUGGCGGGUCAUUAGCUAAUCGGGUGGGUAACGGCUGCCCAAGGCCACGAUGACUAAGGGAGCUGAGAGGCUGGUCCCCCACACGGGCACUGAGAUACGGGCCCAAGUCCUAUUUUAGGCAGCAGGAGGGAAUAUUGGGCAAUGGGCCCAAGCCUGACCCACUCAUGCCGCGUGGAGGAUGAAGGCACUCAACGUUGUAAACUUCUUAUAUCGGGGAAGAACGGCAGGACUGACGGAUCGUGUGACUGGUCUCGAGGAAUCACCACGCGCUAGCUCCGUGUCAGCCGGCUGCAGUAAU